UACAGAGGGUGCAAGCGUUAAUCGGAAUUACUGGGCGUAAAGCGUGCGUAGACGGUUAUUUAAGUCAGGUGUGAAAGCCCCGGGCUCAACCUGGGAAUUGCAUUUGAGACUGAAUAGCUAGGGUGCGGAAGAGGGAAGCGGAAUUUCCGGUGUAGCGGUGAAAUGCGUAGAUAUCGGAAGGAACACCAGUGGCGAAAGCGGCUUCCUGGCCCAGCACCGACGUUCAGGCACGAAAGCGUGGGAGCAAACAGG
rnacentral:rRNA from 1 species